GAGGAGCUUGCUCCUCUGGAUUAGUGGCGAACGGGUGAGUAACACGUGAGCAAUGUGCCCUUGACUCUGGAAUAAGCGCUGGAAACGGCGUCUAAUACCGGAUACGACCUUCGGAGGCAUCUCCUGUUGGUGGAAAGAACUUCGGUCAAGGAUCAGCUCACGGCCUAUCAGCUUGUUGGUGAGGUAACGGCUCACCAAGGCGACGACGGGUAGCCGGCCUGAGAGGGUGACCGGCCACACUGGGACUGAGACACGGCCCAGACUCCUACGGGAGGCAGCAGUGGGGAAUAUUGCACAAUGGGCGCAAGCCUGAUGCAGCAACGCCGCGUGAGGGACGACGGCCUUCGGGUUGUAAACCUCUUUUAGCAGGGAAGAAGCGAAAGUGACGGUACCUGCAGAAAAAGCACCGGCUAACUACGUGCCAGCAGCCGCGGUAAUACGUAGGGUGCAAGCGUUGUCCGGAAUUAUUGGGCGUAAAGAGCUCGUAGGCGGUUUGUCGCGUCUGCUGUGAAAUCCCGAGGCUCAACCUCGGGCUUGCAGUGGGUACGGGCAGACUAGAGUGCGGUAGGGGAGAUUGGAAUUCCUGGUGUAGCGGUGGAAUGCGCAGAUAUCAGGAGGAACACCGAUGGCGAAGGCAGAUCUCUGGGCCGUAACUGACGCUGAGGAGCGAAAGCAUGGGGAGCAAACAGGCUUAGAUACCCUGGUAGUCCAUG
rnacentral:rRNA from 1 species